rnacentral:rRNA from 1 species
UACAGAGGUGGCAAGCGUUGUUCGGAAUUACUGGGCGUAAAGGGCGCGUAGGCGGUCUGGUAAGUCCCGUGUGAAAUCCCUCGGCUCAACUGAGGAAUGGCACGGGAAACUGCCUGGCUUGAGUUCGGGAGAGGGAAGCGGAAUUCCGGGUGUAGCGGUGAAAUGCGUAGAUAUCCGGAGGAACACCGGUGGCGAAGGCGGCUUCCUGGACCGACACUGACGCUGAGGUGCGAAAGCUAGGGGAGCAAACGGG